rnacentral:rRNA from 1 species
GACGAACGCUGGCGGCGUGCCUAACACAUGCAAGUCGAACGGGACGUAGGGGCAACUCUACGUUCAGUGGCAGACGGGUGCGUAACACGUGAGCAACUUGUCCGACGGCGGGGGAUAGCCGGUCUAACGACCGGGUAAUACCGCGUACGCUCAUUUGGGGACAUCCCUGGGUGAGGAAAGCCGCAAGGCACCGACGGAGAGGCUCGCGACCUAUCAGCUAGUUGGCGGGUAACGGCCCACCAAGGCUACGACGGGUAGCUGGUCUGAGAGGACGAUCAGCCACAUUGGGACUGAGACACGGCCCAGACUCCUACGGGUGGCUG